rnacentral:rRNA from 1 species
CAGCCGCCGCGGUAAUACCGGCGGCCCGAGUGGCGGCCACUAUUAUUGGGCUUAAAGCGUCCGUAGCCGGGUUGGUUAGUCUCCCGGGAAAUCUGGCCGCUUAACGGUCAGAAUUCCGGGAGAUACUGCCAGCCUAGGGACCGGGAGAGGCCGAGGGUAUUCCCGGAGUAGGGGUGAAAUCCUAUAAUCCCGGGAGGACCACCUGUGGCGAAGGCGCUCGGCUGGAACGGGUCCGACGGUGAGGGACGAAGGCCAGGGGAGCAGACCGGAUUAGAUACCCGGGUAGGCCUGGCUGUAAACGAUGCGGACUUUGUGUCGGACAAGCUAUGAGCUUGUCCGGUGCCGGAGGGAAACCGUUAAGUCCGCCGCCUGGGGAGUACGGCCGCAAGGCUGAAACUUAAAGGAAUUGGCGGG